rnacentral:snoRNA from 1 species
GUGAUGGCCUCCUCGCCGCGCGGAGUUGUGACCAUUCCGGCGGAGCUGA